AGCGAACGCUGGCGGCGUACUUAACACAUGCAAGUCGAACGGGGAUCAUCGGGUUAGCAAUAGCUCGGUGGUCCUAGUGGCGCACGGGUGAGUAACACGUGGGUAACCUGCCCUGGAGACCGGGAUACCCCCUCGAAAGGGGGGCUAAUACCGGAUACGUUCCCUGGAUCGAGAGGUCUGGGGAGGAAAGGUGGCGAAAGCUGCCGCUCUUGGAGGGGCUCGCGGCCUAUCAGCUAGUGGCGGGGUAACGGCCCACCAAGGCUAUGACGGGUAGCUGGUCUGAGAGGACGACCAGCCACACGGGGACUGAGACACGGCCCCGACUCCUACGGGAGGCAGCAGUGGGGAAUUUUCCGCAAUGGGCGAAAGCCUGACGGAGUGACGCCGCGUGUGGGACGAAGGCCUUCGGU
rnacentral:rRNA from 1 species